GGGGCUGUGGCUCAGUGGUCGAGCACUUGCCUAGCACAUGCAAGGACCUGUGUUCCAUCCUCAGCACCACA
rnacentral:tRNA from 1 species